rnacentral:rRNA from 1 species
GGUUGACCUCGGAUCAGGUAGGAAUACCCGCUGAACUUAAGCAUAUCAAUAAGCGGAGGAAAAGAAACCAACAGGGAUUGCCUCAGUAACGGCGAGUGAAGCGGCAACAGCUCAAAUUUGAAAUCUGGCCUCUUUGGGGUCCGAGUUGUAAUUUGUAGAGGAUGUUUCGGGUACCGCCUCGGUCUAAAUUUCUUGGAACAGAAUGUCAAAGAGGGUGAGAAUCCCGUCUUGGACCGGCGGUAGGGCCCAUGUGAAACUCCUUCGACGAGUCGAGUUGUUUGGGAAUGCAGCUCAAAAUGGGUGGUAAAUUUCAUCUAAAGCUAAAUAUUGGCCAGAGACCGAUAGCGCACAAGUAGAGUGAUCGAAAGAUGAAAAGCACUUUGAAAAGAGAGUUAAACAGUAUGUGAAAUUGUUGAAAGGGAAGCGCUUGCAACCAGACUUGAGCGCGGCGGUUCCCCCUUCCUUUUGGUUGGGUUACUCCGCCGUGUCCAGGCCAACAUCGGUUCUGGGGGUCGGUUAAAGGCCCGAGGAAUGUAUCUACUCCUUCGGGGGUAGACUUAUAGCCUCGGGUGUCAUGCGACCUCCCGGGACCGAGGAACGCGCUUCGGCUCGGAUGUUGGCGUAAUGGUUGUCAGCGACCCGUCUUGAAACACGGACCAAGGAGUCUAACAUCUAUGCGAGUGUUUGGGUGUCAAACCCGGAACGCGGAAUGAAAGUGAACGGAGGUAGGAAGCCGCAAGGCUGCACUAUCGACCGAUCCUGAUGUCUUCGGAUGGAUUUGAGUAAGAGCAUAGCUGUUGGGACCCGAAAGAUGGUGAACUAUGCCUGAAUAGGGUGAAGCCAGAGGAAACUCUGGUGGAGGCUCGCAGCGGUUCUGACGUGCAAAUCGAUCGUCAAAUUUGGGUAUAGGGGCGAAAGACUAAUCGAACCAUCUGGUAGCUGGUUCCUGCCGAAGUUUCCCUCAGGAUAGCAGUAACGAAAUCAGUUUUAUGAGGUAAAGCGAAUGAUUAGAGGCCUUGGGGUUGAAACAACCUUAACCUAUUCUCAAACUUUAAAUAUGUAAGAAGUCCUUGUUACUUAAUUGAACGUGGACAUUUGAAUGUAUCGUUACUAGUGGGCCAUUUUUGGUAAGCAGAACUGGCGAUGCGGGAUGAACCGAACGUGAGGUUAAGGUGCCGGAAUGCACGCUCAUCAGACACCACAAAAGGUGUCAAUGCAUCUAGACAGCCGGACGGUGGCCAUGGAAGUCGGAAUCCGCUUAGGAGUGUGUAACAACUCACCGGCCGAAUGCAUUGGCCCUGAAAAUGGAUGGCGCUUAAGCGUGUUACCUAUACCUCGCCGUUAGGGUUGACAUGAUGCCCUAACGAGUAGGCAG